rnacentral:sRNA from 1 species
GUCGUGAGAUGUUGGGUUAAGUCCCGCAACGAGCGCAACCCUCAUCUUCAGUUGCCAUCAGGUAAUGCUGGGCACUCUGGAGAAACUGCCGGUGACAAGCCGGAGGAAGGCGGGGAUGACGUCAAGUCCUCAUGGCCCUUACGGGCUGGGCUACACACGUGCUACAAUGGCGGUGACAGCGGGCGGCGACGGUGCGAGCCGAAGCCAAUCCCGAAAAGCCGUCUCAGUUCGGAUUGCACUCUGCAACUCGAGUGCAUGAAGUUGGAAUCGCUAGUAAUCGCGGAUCAGCAUGCCGCGGUGAAUACGUUCCCGGGCCUUGUACACACCGCCCGUCACGCCAUGGGAGUUGGUUUUACCCGAAGGCGGUCUUGCUGACCCAGCAAUGGGGGGCGGCCGACCACGGUAAGGUCAGCGACUGGGGCGAAGUCGUAACAAGGUAGCCGUAGGGGAACCUGCGGCUGGAUCACCUCCUUUCUGGGGCUUGAGGAGAGCGCAGCAUCCGCCAGGGUGUUGUGGUGCCUUGAGCAACCAAACAUGAUGAAGGCCGAAGGCUUAUCUGGAGCCGCCGUCCCCGCAUCCCUUCUCACACGGAAAACAACGAGCGAUCGGGCUAGUAGCUCAGCUGGUUAGAGCGCGCGCUUGAUAAGCGUGAGGUCGGAAGUUCAAAUCUUCCCUGGCCCACCACUCUUUUGCGCAGCAAGCCGCUGGCGCGCUGGAGCCGAUCUGGCGAUUAAUCUGGCUGGUGAAUAGCCUGGCUGGUAAGUCCCGGGGCCAUAGCUCAGCUGGGAGAGCGCCUGCUUUGCAAGCAGGAGGUCACCGGUUCGAUCCCGGUUGGCUCCACCAGAGCCGACGAGAUCAAGAGCUGACGAAAGUCGUGGCGCGCUGAUGCUGCAAGGCAUCACGGGGCGCGCCGGCGAGAGUCGGCCUGGUGAUGCCAGCCUGGCGAUGAUCGAGGCGCUCGAGCGAACAGAGAUCCGUGUUGAGAAGACCUGAAUAGGUCUGAUGUUGUGGUGCGGCUGCGCCAUGGCGUUGGGCUUUUGCUGUUUGACAUUGUGGAUAGGAAUGCGACUGGCUGUUUGGGCUGGUUGCCUUGCUGUGGCGGUUGCCCGAGUGCGCAAGCACGAGAGCGGACGGCCGAGCGAGGGAUCGGUGACUAGACGGCCAGGCGGGUAACAAGAUGAAGUGCUGAGUAAAGUCGAGGCUGGUGAUUCGUGUAUGGGGGCUUUGUUCUCUGUGUGCGAUGGCUGGCUUUGGAUCAAGCGUUUAAGGGCAUUUGGUGGAUGCCUUGGCACUGAGAGGCGAUGAAGGACGUGGCACGCUGCGAAAAGCCGCGGGGAGGGGCGAGCACCCUUUGAUCCGUGGAUAU